GUAAAUUCACCAGUGUCAAAUAUGCAGUGUAAAAGUACAUUUACUCUUUCCGAGCAAUUACAACAACACAUAGUGUAAGAUACUUUACAGUGUCAGUGAAAAAUCACUUAGUUGAAAGAUGUAGUGUCAGAAGUGCUCUGGAGAGCUCCGCCUACUUUUUUCUCAGUUUUCAAAUGAAGCAGAAGUUUUCCAGCGCCAUUUUUUCCACCUGCAAGGAUUUCGAUUUUGAAGUGCUUAACGUUACCAAUGCGACUUGAUGGCUAACAUUUGUUGAACGGUGCAACAGUCCACCACAGGAAAAUUAUCUAGAAGAGCUAAUACAAACACUGUGUGGGAGUGUUUUUCCCCCUAUAUUUGCAGGAUCGACAGACACAGAGGAGGUAUCAAGUCAGAACUGCAAAAGACACAGCGGCCGAGCCAGAGGUGGCCUACCCAGUCGGACACACAACCGGACACACAGCAGAGCAGUUCCAGGAUUUCGGCAUCCACGCAAAAGCUAUAUUCCGGGUGGCAGAUUUGGUCUGCACCCGGCAAUGUGAGUAGCUCCUUUUUUUGCUUCGAACAACAACGUGUAUUAGCAGUGGUAGUUUGCUCCGUACUGCCAAAAGUCUCCUUUGUUUCAGCUGAGCGAUUACAUCGCUGCUGGUGGUCGGGUGGAGAACUGAGUAGCCUACGAUCUGUGGAGGACUUACGGGAAGGUACCGAGCGAUUGGAACAUUUGUGGGUUGCCGUGCGGAUGACUGCUUGGCUAGGCUAGGCCGGAGAACACUGAAGCUACUAACUCGCCUGCUGCUUGCUUGCUCAUUUGUUUACUGCUGUGCUGUGCUGUGCUGUGCUGUGCUGUGCUGACUGGGGACUGCUGUGGGGCGUCUGGCGCUGCUGGUGGCGGUAUUACUGGCUGUAGUCUCUUGUUUUAUUACAGUGUUGUAUUGAUGUGCAUUUUAACUGUGGAU